CAGGUCCUACGGGGGGCAGCAGUGGGGAAUAUUGCACAAUGGGGGAAACCCUGAUGCAGCGACGCCGCGUGAGUGAAGAAGUAUUUCGGUAUGUAAAGCUCUAUCAGCAGGGAAGAAGAAAGACGGUACCUGACUAAGAAGCCCCGGCUAACUACGUGCCAGCAGCCGCGGUAAUACGUAGGGGGCAAGCGUUAUCCGGAUUUACUGGGUGUAAAGGGAGCGCAGACGGCGAUGCAAGCCAGGAGUGAAAGCCCGGUGCCCAACCCCGGGACUGCCCUUGGAACUGCGUGGCUGG
rnacentral:rRNA from 1 species